rnacentral:rRNA from 1 species
AUACGGAGGGUCCAAGCGUUAUCCGGAAUCAUUGGGUUUAAAGGGUCCGCAGGCGGUCAAUUAAGUCAGAGGUGAAAGCCCAUCGCUCAACGAUGGAACUGCCUUUGAUACUGGUUGACUUGAGUUAUACGGAAGUAGAUAGAAUAAGUAGUGUAGCGGUGAAAUGCAUAGAUAUUACUUAGAACACCGAUUGCGAAGGCAGUCUACUACGUAUAUACUGACGCUGAGGGACGAAAGCGUGGGGAGCGAACAGGAUUAGAUACCCUAGUAGUCC